rnacentral:rRNA from 1 species
AGUGAACGCUGGCGGUAGGCCUAACACAUGCAAGUCGAACGGCAGCACAGUAAGAGCUUGCUCUUACGGGUGGCGAGUGGCGGACGGGUGAGGAAUACAUCGGAAUCUACUUUUUCGUGGGGGAUAACGUAGGGAAACUUACGCUAAUACCGCAUACGACCUACGGGUGAAAGCAGGGGAUCUUCGGACCUUGCGCGAUUGAAUGAGCCGAUGUCGGAUUAGCUAGUUGGCGGGGUAAAGGCCCACCAAGGCGAAGAUCCGUAGCUGGUCUGAGAGGAUGAUCUGCCAAACUGGAACUGAGACACGGUCCAGACUCCUACGGGAGGCAGCAGUGGGGAAUAUUGGACAAUUGGCGCAAGCCUGAUCCAGCCAUACCGCGCGAGUGAAGAAGGCCUUCGGGUUGUAAAGCCCUUUUUUUGGGAAAGAAAAGCAGCAGGUUAAUACCCCGCUGUUCUGACGGUACCCAAAGAAUAAGCACCGGCUAACUUCGUG